GUCUACAGCCACACUACCCUGAAUAUACCCUAUCUCUGAUCCUGGAGGCUAAGCAGGGUCAGACCAGAUUAAUACCGGGAUGGGAGUUUCCCUAGGAAAGGGAACUAAGGACU
rnacentral:rRNA from 1 species